rnacentral:rRNA from 1 species
CUGCCGAUGACUCGGGGAUAGCCUUUCGAAAGAAAGAUUAAUACCCGAUGGCUCCGCAUGGUUAAAGAAUUUCGGUCAUCGAUGGGGAUGCGUUCCAUUAGGUUGUUGGCGGGGUAACGGCCCACCAAGCCUUCGAUGGAUAGGGGUUCUGAGAGGAAGGUCCCCCACAUUGGAACUGAGACACGGUCCAAACUCAUACGGGAGGCAGCAGUGAGGAAUAUUGGUCAAUGGACGAGAGUCUGAACCAGCCAAGUAGCGUGAAGGAUGACUGCCUAUGGGUUGUAAACUUCUUUUAUACGGGAAUAAGUGAGGCACGUGUGCCUUUUUGUAUGUACCGUAUGAAUAAGGAUCGGCUAACUCCGUGCCAGCAGCCGCGGUAAUACGGAGGAUCCGAGCGUUAUCCGGAUUUAUUGGGUUUAAAGGGAGCGUAGGCGGACGCUUAAGUCAGUUGUGAAAGUUUGCGGCUCAACCGUAAAAUUGCAGUUGAUACUGGGUGUCUUGAGUACAGUAGAGGCAGGCGGAAUUCGUGGUGUAGCGGUGAAAUGCUUAGAUAUCACGAAGAACUCCGAUUGCGAAGGCAGCCUGCUGGACUGUAACUGACGCUGAUGCUCGAAAGUGUGGGUAUCAAACAGGAUUAGAUACCCUGGUAGUCCACACAGUAGACGAUGAAUACUCGCU